rnacentral:tRNA from 1 species
AAGAAGCCUCUACCGGAGCUGCUAACUCACGGACCCUGGAACUAAACCCCC